rnacentral:rRNA from 1 species
AACCCGGUGAUCUAUCCAUGGGCAGGUUGAAGGUUGGGUAACACUAACUGGAGGACCGAACCGACUAAUGUUGAAAAAUUAGCGGAUGACUUGUGGAUGGGGGUGAAAGGCCAAUCAAACCGGGAGAUAGCUGGUUCUCCCCGAAAGCUAUUUAGGUAGCGCCUCGUGAACUCAUCUUCGGGGGUAGAGCACUGUUUCGACUAGGGGGUCAUCCCGACUUACCAACUCGAUGCAAACUGCGAAUACCGAAGAAUGUUAUCACGGGAGACACACGGCGGGUGCUAACGUCCGUCGUGAAGAGGGAAACAACCCAGACCGCCAGCUAAGGUCCCAAAGUCAUGGUUAAGUGGGAAACGAAGUGGGAAGGCUCAGACAGCCAGGAUGUUGGCUUAGAAGCAGCCAUCAUUUAAAGAAAGCGUAAUAGCUCACUGGUCGAGUCGGCCCGCGCGGAAGAUGUAACGGGGCUAAACCAUGCACCGAAGCUGCGGCAGCGAACGUAUCACUUAAAUUUGUUUGAGUGAAUAACGAUUGACGGAACGAAGUGACGUCAAUGCGUUAAUGAAAGUCGAGGCGAAAGCACGACAAAGCGAAUUUAAGGAUACGUUCGUUGGGUAGGGGAGCGUUCUGUAAGCCUGCGAAGGUGUACUGUGAGGUAUGC